rnacentral:rRNA from 1 species
GCGGAAGAAUUGCAGUUAAGGAACUAGGCAAAUUGACCCCGUAAGUUCGCGAGAAGGGGUGCCUGCGAGAGCAGGCCGCAGAGAAUAGGCCCAAGCAACUGUUUAGCAAAAACACAGGUCUCUGCUAAAGCGUAAGCUGAUGUAUAGGGGCUGACGCCUGCCCGGUGCUGGAAGGUUAAGGGGAACACUUAGCGCAAGCGAAGGUGUGAACUUAAGCCCCAGUAAACGGCGGCCGUAACUAUAACGGUCCUAAGGUAGCGAAAUUCCUUGUCAGGUAAGUUCUGACCCGCACGAAUGGCGUAAUGACUUGGGCACUGUCUCAACUGCAAAUCCGGCGAAGUUGUAGUGCGAGUGAAGAUGCUCGCUACCCGCGAUUGGACGGAAAGACCCCGUAGAGCUUUACUGUAGCUUAGCAUUGAAUUCCGGUAUUGUCUGUACAGGAUAGGUGGGAGACUGGGGAACUAGGGCGUCAGCCUUAGUGGAGUCAACCUUGGAUACCACCCUGACAGUACUGGGGUUCUAACAGGACGCCAUGAAGCUGGUGACUGGACAUUGUUAGGUGGGCAGUUUGACUGGGCGGUCGCCUCCUAAAAAGUAACGGAGGCGCCCAAAGGUUCCCUCAGAACGGUCGGAAAUCGUUCGUAGAGUGCAAAGGCAGAAGGGAGCCUGACUGCGAGACCUACAAGUCGAGCAGGGACGAAAGUCGGGCUUAGUGAUCCGGUGGUACCUCGUGGGAGGGCCAUCGCUCAACGGAUAAAAGCUACCUCGGGGAUAACAGGCUGAUCUCCCCCAAGAGUCCACAUCGACGGGGAGGUUUGGCACCUCGAUGUCGGCUCGUCGCAUCCUGGGGCUGUAGUAGGUCCCAAGGGUUGGGCUGUUCGCCCAUUAAAGCGGCACGCGAGCUGGGUUCAGAACGUCGUGAGACAGUUCGGUCCCUAUCCGUCGCGGGCGUAGGAAAUUUGAGAGGAGCUGUCCUUAGUACGAGAGGACCGGGAUGGACUGACCUCUGGUGCACCAGUUGUUCUGCCAAGAGCAUGGCUGGGUAGCUAAGUCGGGAAGGGAUAAACGCUGAAAGCAUCUAAGCGUGAAGCCCCCCUCAAGAUGAGAUUUCCCAUAGCAUAAGCUAGUAAGACCCCUUGAAGAACACAAGGUUGAUAGGUCAGAGGUGGAAGUGCGGUAACGUAUGUAGCUGACUGAUACUAAUAGGUCGAGGGCUUGACCAA